rnacentral:rRNA from 1 species
CCCUGCACGUUCGGGAUAAGCCUGGGAAACUGGGUCUAAUACUGGAUAGGAGCCAUUUUUAGUGUGAUGGUUGGAAAGUUUUUUCGGUGUAGGAUGAGCUCGCGGCCUAUCAGCUUGUUGGUGGGGUAAUGGCCUACCAAGGCGGCGACGGGUAGCCGGCCUGAGAGGGUGGACGGCCACAUUGGGACUGAGAUACGGCCCAG